rnacentral:rRNA from 1 species
CCCGAAACCGAGUGACCUAUCCAUGGCCAGGAUGAAGCGGAAGUAAAAUUCCGUGGAGGUCCGAACCACGUUGGUGUUGAAAAACCAUGGGAUGAGCGGUGGAUAGCGGAGAAAUUCCAAUCGAACUCGGAGAUAGCUGGUUCUCCUCGAAAUAGCUUUAGGGCUAGCGUCGGGUAAUUGAGUAGUGGAGGUAGAGCACUGAAUGGGCUAGGGGCUGACAACAGUUACUGAACCCUAUCAAACUCCGAAUGCCAUAUACUUGUACCCCGGCAGUCAGACUACGAAUGAUAAGAUCCGUGGUCAAAAGGGAAACAGCCCAGACCAUCAGCUAAGGUCCCAAAGUGUAAGUUAAGUGGGAAAGGAUGUGGGAUUUCUAAGACAACUAGGAUGUUGGCUUAGAAGCAGCCACUCAUUUAAAGAGUGCGUAAUAGCUCACUAGUCGAGAGAUCCUGCGCCGAAGAUGUAACGGGGCUCAAACUUACCACCGAAGCUAUGGAUGUGUACUUUGUACACGUGGUAGAGGAGCUUUCUGUACAGGUUGAAGUCAUACCGUAAGGAGUGGUGGACAGUACAGAAGUGAGAAUGCUGGCAUAAGUAGCGAAAAACAAGUGAGAAUCUUGUUGACCGAAUAUCUAAGGUUUCCUGGGGAAGGCUCGUCCUCCCAGGGUUAGUCGGGACCUAAGCCGAGGCCGA